UAAAACUUAGGAAGAACCACAGUGAGAAGAAAUCGGUCCUGAUGCUGAUCAUCUGCAGCUCGGCCGUCCGAGCCCUGGAGCUCAUUAGGUCGAUGACAGCAUUCAGAGGAGACGGCAAAGUUAUAAAAUUAUUUGCAAAGCACAUAAAGGUCCAGGCGCAGGUAAAGUUGCUGGAGAAGCGUGUGGUGCACCUGGGUGUAGGAACUCCGGGG
rnacentral:misc_RNA from 1 species